rnacentral:rRNA from 1 species
UAAUACGUAGGGUGCGAGCGUUAAUCGGAAUUACUGGGCGUAAAGCGUGCGCAGGCGGUUCGACAAGUCUGAUGUGAAAUCCCCGGGCUCAACCUGGGAACUGCGUUGGAAACUGUCGGGCUAGAGUGUAGAAGAGGGGGGUAGAAUUCCACGUGUAGCAGUGAAAUGCGUAGAGAUGUGGAGGAAUACCGAUGGCGAAGGCAGCCCCCUGGGCUAACACUGACGCUCAUGCACGAAAGCGUGGGGAGCAAACAGG